CAAAGUUUUCUUUCCAGACAUAAGAAUAUUUACUUUGUAAACUAUUCCAGUUAACAAAUCACAAAUUGCCAAUAAAAAAGUACACAUGGUUGUGAAAUUUGUUAUUUUUCCAAGGGCGAUCAAUACCAUCAAGUCCACCAGAACUAUGAGAUUACGUAUAAUCAACAAUACAACUUUUUAACGUCUAUACAAUCAGUUGCCUUUUCUCUUAGAAUAAAUUUUUGUAUAUAGUAUCAGAAAGCCAUUUCCUUGAGGGAUGAAAAUAGGCACUUCCAUCUUUAAUCAACAGGUCUGUUCAAAUGGCUCAUCCUCUUUUAUGCAAUGGUUGUGUAAUACUUUCUUAGCCAAUAAUCUAGGGUUGAUACUUCAAAAUACCAUUAGCCUCUCUUCUUAGGUAGAGGAGAAACUUCUCUCUGUGUAUAUUGUGGUGAGGGGGUUGUCAAAAGGGAAGUAGGUUGCACCCUUAGUAUUGAAUUAUACUGUUGUUAGGUUACAGUUUAUCAACAAGAAAAGGCAUAUGGAUGGCCUGUUCCCCUUGUGUUUGUGUAUGUGUGUUUAGGAAUAUAGGCAGUAGGUCAUGUGGGCCAUAGCAAAGUAGCCCCUGCACCCUUCUUAAAUUGUGCCCUCUCUCAUUUUGGUUGUGCCUUUUAAUUUCACCCAGGCACUCUGCGAUAGGGCUCUAGAUGUCAUAACACCUCUAUUUUCAGUAAUUUCUCACUAUUUAAUGCUGUAAAACAUCAAGGGUUACAACUUGUAUACAACUAAAAUGUAAAGUGUUAUCUGAAAACAGAAAAAUACUUCUUUAGGGCCCUUUGAAUAUAAUGAUAAACAAAAACAAAAAAAAAAUGUAAUUGUUGCUUUGCUUGUGCUGCUACAAAAUAUCUCCAUGCCUGUAGCCCCUCAAAAUGUUUUUGUUAAUCUUAUUUUAUUUACUGUUUCUGAUAGUCCAUUGUAUGGGGGGAAAUAAUACCUCAUAAAGUUUCUGUAUAACAAAUGCUUGCCCAUGCUAAAGCAUGAUAGCCGACAAAGAAUGGCUACCUACAAAACUAUUUCACUAAAAAAGAUGUCUGUUAUCACUAUUCCUUUGAAAUCCAGAACAGCUCUCUAUGGCUAUCUGUAGUAUAUGGUCUGUAGUACAUGGUAAACUUUUAAAAGUUUAUUUGAUAAGAUUAAAAACUGUAUGUUUAGCAAAAGAACAUGAUAGUUUUAUAUUGGGGGGGAAUCAGGAAAGGAGGAGGAAGUGGGCUUGGAGCUGUUUCUUCAGAUUACCAUGUCAGAGGCUGUAGGCUUAUCUGUGAACUUCAUGCAGUGACAAAGCUAUGGCUUUUGUCUUUUUAAAUUUUUUAUUUUUUUUAUCAUAAAACCCGUCUGUUGUGGGUUUUGUACUGUAUCCUAAAUUUUAAAGCUUUCUUUACAGCUUAUACGUAGAACAGGUUUUGUUUGUUUCUUUUUCUUGCACUUUUAAAAUUCGUUCUGUUCUUUUCCUUUUCUACAAUUUUAAAACUUUCUUUCAGUCUGCCUUUCUCUCUCAAAUCUGCUUUAUUUUGUAAAUUAUUUUAAAAGGACUUAUUCUCUGUCUACUGAACUUUAUUUAAAAUGUGUAAAAACCUGUUUUCUUCUGAAAAUCUUCUAACCGUAACACAUGAAAAAACACACAAAUAGUUCUAAUGCACCCAAUAAAGAAAAAUAUUUCAAAAUUUCAAAAUUGCUACUGGGACAAAAGUGUACAUGUCCAAAAAUGUGACUGGAUGGCAGGACAUAAAUGAAAAAAGGGUCAUGGAAACUUGUGAAAAUUUAUAUGAUGAAUAAAGGUACAGCAGUUAAACUACUUGCCAGCACUUUUGUCUUGAUGGGUUGUAAUGGAGUUGCAAGGUGAAGAAUUCUGUCAUAAGGGGGGGAGACAAAAUGGAAGAAAAAGCUCCCACAACAGGAUGAUUGUCAUAUUGUGAAGAGUUAGUCAACAGUUCUUGCUACAAUAGUACUUGAUGGUAUUACAUUAAGACAAUAAAAUAGUCUGCUCCAGAAUAUUGUGUUGUGGUACAGGUUCAAAAGGGAAUGCCUAUUAUGUAAAACUUCAGGGUGACAUAGCUUGCCUCACGACUAUAGUUGAAAAAGAGAGGGAUCAAAGUUAUUAUUGUCAGUAGUUCUGUCUCAUGUCAUCUAGAUAUUGGCUCAUAUAACAACAGUUUGCCUGUAGUAAUGCCACACUAGGCAACACUUAAAAUAUUUUAUUUAUUUAUUUAUUUUAUUUAGCAUGCUAAAUGUUCAUGACACUUACAGACAAUAUAGCUCCUGCCCCAAGGAGCUUACAUUUUGGCCUCGUCUACACUAUGAGUUUAAUUCGAAUUUAGCAGCGUUAAAUCGAAUUAACCCUGCACCGGUCCACACAACGAAGCCAUUUCUUUCGAAAUAAAGGGCUCUUUAAAUCAAUUUCUGUACUCCUUCCCAACAAGCGGAGUAGCGCCGAAAUCGAUGUUGUCAUUUCGAAUUAGGGUUAGUGUGGCCGCAAUUCGAUGGUAUUGGCCUCCGGGAGCUAUCCCACAGUGCACCAUUGUGACCGCUCUGGACAGCAAUCUGAACUCAGAUGCACUGGCCAGGUAGACAGGAAAAGCCCCGCGAACAUUUGAAUUUCAUUUCCUGUUUCCCCAGUAGAGAGCUCAUCAGCACAAGUAACCAUGCAGGCCAAUAAUCGAAAAAGAGCACCAGCAUGGACCGUAUGGGAGGUACUGGAUCUGAUCGCUAUAUGGGGAGAGGAUUCAGUGCUAGCAGAACUUUGUUCGAAAAGAUGAAAUGCCAAAACUUUUCAAAAAAUCUCCAAGGGCAUGAUGGAGAGAGGCCACAAUAGGGACUCAGAGCAGUGCUGCAUGAAAAAUCAAGGAGCUCAGACAAGCCUAUCAGAAAACAAAGGAGGCAAACAGUCGCUCCGGGUCAGAGCCGCAGACAGGCCGCUUGUACGCUGAGCUGCAUGCAGUUCUAGGGGGGGCCGCCAUCACUACCCCACCUCUGACCGUGGAUUCCGAGGUGGGGGUAAUCUCAUCAGCCACACCUGAGGAUUCUGCAGACGCGGAAGAGGAGGAGGAGGAGGAGGAGGAGCUUGCGGAGAGCACACAGCAUUCCAUUCUCCCCAACAGCCAGGAUCUUUUUCUCAGCCUGACUGAAGUACUCUCCCAAGCCUCCCAAGCCAGGACCAAAGACCAUGACCCCAUGCAGCUGCAAAUUUUUCAAGCCUCCCUCCUCCGUCCCAAAGGCUAUCUCAGAUAAGGCGUUGGAAAAAGAGGAUGCGAGACGAGAUGUUUGCGGAAAUCAUGGAAUCCACCCGCAAUGAAAGAGCUCAUCUGAAUGAGUGGAAGGACACGGUUUCAAAGUAUAGGAAAGAUGCCAGUGAAUGUGAGGACAGGAGGGACCAACGUGAGGACAGGAGGGACCAACGUGAGGAGAGGAGAGACGCUCGAGAUGAGAGGUGGAAGCAGGAAGAUCAGAGGAGGCAGGAUGCAACGCUGGGUCUGCUGCAUGAGCAAACAGACAUGCUCUGGCGUCUGGAGGAGCUUCAGGAACGGCAGCAGGAUCACAGACUUCCGCUGCAACCCCUGUAUAACCACCCUCCCCCCUCACCAUGUUCCAUAGCCUCCUCAUCCAGACGUGUAAGAAGGCGGAGGGGGGAGGCUCCGUGCACCUUCCCAUUCCACCCCAGUGGAUAGCCCAAGCAAAAUGCUGUCAUUAUUUUAACCUUUUUUUAGUGGCCUUUUCCUUCCCUCCGAUCCUCCUCCCAAACCCCACCCAGGCUACUUUCUCAGUUCUCUCCCUCUUUUUAUAAUCAAUUAAUAAAGAAUACAUGAUUUUUAAA